GUGGGGAAUCUUCCACAAUGGACGAAAGUCUGAUGGAGCAACGCCGCGUGAGUGAAGAAGGGUUUCGGCUCGUAAAGCUCUGUUGUCGGGGACGAAUGUGCAGUAUUUGAAUAAAGUACUGCAAUGACGGUACCUGACGAGGAAGCCACGGCUAACUACGUGCCAGCAGCCGCGGUAAUACGUAGGUGGCAAGCGUUGUCCGGAAUUAUUGGGCGUAAAGGGAGCGCAGGCGGGAAGGUAAGUCGGUCUUAAAAGUGCGGGGCUCAACCCCGUGAUGGGAUCGAAACUAUCUUUCUUGAGUGCAGGAGAGGAAAGUGGAAUUCCUAGUGUAGCGGUGAAAUGCGUAGAUAUUAGGAGGAACACCAGUGGCGAAGGCGACUUUCUGGACUGUAACUGACGCUGAGGCUCGAAAGCCAGGGGAGCGAACGGGAUUAGAUACCCCGGUAGUCC
rnacentral:rRNA from 1 species